UACGUAGGGGGCAAGCGUUGUCCGGAAUCAUUGGGCGUAAAGCGCGUGUAGGCGGCCAGAAAAGUCCGCUGUGAAAACUCGAGGCUCAACUUCGAGCUGUCGGUGGAAACUUUCUGGCUAGAGUCCGGAAGAGGAGAAUGGAAUUCCUGGUGUAGCGGUGAAAUGCGCAGAUAUCAGGAAGAACACCCGUGGCGAAGGCGGCUCUCUGGGACGGUACUGACGCUGAGACGCGAAAGCGUGGGGAGCGAACAGG
rnacentral:rRNA from 1 species